rnacentral:tRNA from 1 species
GCCUGGGUGGCUCAGUUGGUUAAGCAUCUGACCUUUGAUUUUGGCUCCCCGUUUGUGAGUUCGAGCCCACCCCAGGCU